rnacentral:rRNA from 1 species
UAGGGAAUCUUCCGCAAUGGACGAAAGUCUGAUGGAGCAACGCCGCGUGAGUGAUGAAGGUUUUCGGAUCGUAAAACUCUGUUGUUAGGGAAGAACAAGUGCCGUUCGAAUAGGGCGGUACCUUGACGGUACCUAACCAGAAAGCCACGGCUAACUACGUG